CGUAGGGUGCAAGCGUUAAUCGGAAUUACUGGGCGUAAAGCGUGCGCAGGCGGUUGUGCAAGACAGAUGUGAAAUCCCCGGGCUUAACCUGGGAAUUGCAUUUGUGACUGCACGGCUAGAGUGUGUCAGAGGGGGGUAGAAUUCCACGUGUAGCAGUGAAAUGCGUAGAUAUGUGGAGGAAUACCGAUGGCGAAGGCAGCCCCCCGGGAUAACACUGACGCUCAUGCACGAAAGCGUGGGGAGCAAACAGGAUUAGAUACCCUGGUAGUCCACGCCCUAAACGAUGUCUACUAGUUGUCGGGUCUUAAUUGACUUGGUAACGCAGCUAACGCGUGAAGUAGACCGCCUGGGGAGUACGGUCGCAAGAUUA
rnacentral:rRNA from 1 species